rnacentral:rRNA from 1 species
UACGUAAAAGACUAGUGUUAUUCAUCUUUAGUAGGUUUAAAGGGUCCUAGACGGUAUAAUUAGUCUUAAACAAGAAACGGUUAUGCUAGAGUUAUAUAUGAGAAGGGGAGUAUUUAUGGAGUAGAGUUGAAAUUCUUUGAUCCCAUAACGACUGGUAGCGGCGAAAGCAACCUUUUAUCUAAUAACUGACGUGAGGGACGAAGGCUCGGGUC